AAUCAGGUGAUCCCAGUUUUCCUAUUUGGGAAUAUGACAACUUCCUCGUUAUUCUAAUCAAACCAGGAUGAAUCGCGAUGUAAGAAAGCUUUAUUUGGAUACAUAAAGUAGUGGAGAAAAACCAGGAAGUGGAAUAAAUCUCAUAGGAGUUAGGAUGAAGAAGUUAUCUCACUUUCAAAUCAGGUGAUUCCAGUUUUCAUGUUUGGGAAUAUGA
rnacentral:lncRNA from 1 species